CUAAACAGCUGCCAAAUGUUAAGAUAGUUUGUGACUGGAUUGCGUUUUGUUCCCACCUUCCGUGUUAAUUGGACAUUUAAGGCAUCUGCAAGAUUUGAAAGUGUUUGUGGUUGGACAGAUACAUACUUUACUAAGAAUUUUUUUUAUUUUAAUACCUUUACUUCAUAUUAUAAAAAUAAAAACCAAAACAGAAGACCAUGAUGAAGCUGCCAGUUGUUUUUUUGUGCAUUGGAUAUGUUCUGUUAACUCUUGCAGGUAAGUUGUUGACUCUUGCAGACGAUGGUGAUUUUGACUUAAAAGAUGCUCUUGACCCAAAUGAUAAGCCUUCUGAACCAACAAAAAAGCCACCAGGGGGUAACAGACCUCGACCUAACUUAUAUCCUGACCUUAGACCAUAUUCAGAUAAUCAUGGAAACGGUGGGAAUUCCUUUAAUGGUGGCGGUGGCGGCAGCAUUGGAACUGGUGGUUUUAAUGACCUAGAUCUCAAUGAUGGGAAACCUUUAGCUCCACGCCCAGCAGGUGAGAAAGAGCAAACUUCAGGUCAAGGUGGAAAUAUGGCUGAUUCUGCUACGACAGCUCAGAUUACAUCUCCUGUUGUUGCUGUAGCUGUGAUGCUGACUGUUGGUGCCAUAGCUGGUUAUACUGCUUAUAAGCAGAAAAGAUACUGUUUUAAACCAAGAGGUGCUCUCUUAGACUGAAAUCCCAGGCAAAUGUAUUUUACACUUCCUUAUCCUGCACAAGUCUAAUCCCUAAAGGCUUUUGGAACAACCCUGUGCCUUUAUUUUGAGGUGAAGCAGUUGCAUAAACCAUUCAAAAAUGAUCUAAGAAAUAUUGAGUUCCACAAGAUCAUCAACAAAUGAAGGAACUGCAUACUGUAAUAACUAUGAUGCUGUCACUAAGAUUUUAUGUAAUGAGGCAUUUUAUUUUUGUGUAUAAAAACUAAAGAACACAGUUUUCAAAAUGUGAUUGAUUAAUGAUACUGUAUAUACUGCUCUACAUUUUAUGCAUAGUAAAAAUACACUAUAUGGGUUUUUUUCCCAGGGUUAGAAACAUUUUAUGUUCUGUUUAUUUAAAAUAACUGGAUCCAAACAAUCAGAAUCUCAAUUUCACUCUUGGUAUACAGUUUAUAAACUAUAAAGUUUAUAGUUAAGGCUCUUUAUGUGCUCUUUUUCAGAUCUUCAGGAUUACUUAAAAAUCUAUGGGGUGUUGAUGCACUGAGAUGUGGAAAGAUGCACACAUGUCCUCUCUCUAGUUUAGCUAUACUGCAUCAGUGUUCAGGGAAACAUUGUACUUCUCUAACUUUAUAAAUUAAAUUUCAUUGAAACAAACAAGAUUGGUUAUCUUCCUACAUUAGUUACCUGAAACCACCAACAAAGUCAGGCUUAUGCACCCAGAUGCCUUUUAGCAUUUAAACUUGAGUGCUAUAUGCUUUGUUGUUUAAAGGUCAAGGGAUAGUUCACCUAUUUUGGAGUGUGACUAGCUGAAAUGUUAAUUUGGUGAUACAAUACCAGGUGCUGAAAAAUAAACAUAGAUUGUGGUCAUAGUUAGGAAAGAGAGAGGUCAGGAAUACAAUGGAAUAUGUGAAUGGUUUUUCUCUUUAAUUUAGGGGAUUUUUCCCCUUCUUUCUUUAGUUCUAAUAUAUAAUAUAUUGCCAUGUAUAUUAAUUUUCUGCUGAUAAAUUCUUGUAAAUCUAUGUAAGUGCAAAGUUUUCUUCAAGUUAAAUUUGACUCCCAGAUUUAAGUUUGAAACAGAACUACGUCCUAAUGAACCUUUGUUGAAAUAUGAGCCAGAAAUACAAGUGAAAUAAUGUGUGAUAAAAUAGCUAAAAAUUUUGGUUCCAAUAUACAAUUGGAUCAGUGGGAAAAUAUGUAGUUAGAAGGAUUGAAAUUUAUAUUAUAAUUUUAAUCUUGAAGAUAAUUUUUACAAAAUUGUAUUUAUUUAUUUAUUACAUUUUUUACACAUUGCCCAUCUCAUGUAAAUGACCAAUGAUGUAUAAUUGGUAUCUGUCACCUAAGAAAUUGUCUAGAAUGUAUAAAGUAAAAUACAAUGUA